rnacentral:lncRNA from 1 species
AAAAAAAAAAAAAGAAACGCUUAUUUACUGUUUCUUUGCAUAUUCAAUAUAUAAUUUUAAUAACUAUAUAAAAAUUUUAAUAAAUUAUAUAUAAUUUUAAUAAGUUUAAAAUUCUAAUAAUUUAUUCAUACAAUUUUAUGUAAUAUUAACACCCUGAAAAUUCUAGAAUAGCAAUUGAUUCGGAUAUAAGCAAGAACUAGCUAUUAAAGGGAUAGAUAUAAAUAUGAGAAUAAGAAAAAUAGCGUUUGGAUAAAAAUUGAAUUGUUUCCGGAAAUAAGAAAAAUAACUUUUGGAUAGAUAAUAUAGAAUAGGAAAAAUAUUGGAUAGUUAUAUUUCGAAAAUAGAGGUGUUGGUAGGGAUAGUUAUACCAGAUUAUUUUGGAUAACUGAGAACUACUAUUCUCGAGUAAAAAAUUUGCGUUUGAAUAUAAAGGGGAUAAGGGGUUAUCCCUCUCCUUAUCCCCAAUCCGAACACUUAAUCUAUCCAUACAAUUUCAUAUAAUUUUAAUAGUCUGAAAAUUCGAAUAAUCUAUUCAUACAAUCCUAACGAUCAAAUAAAAAUAUUCAUAAUCCACAUAUAAUCCUAAUAAUAAAAGAAAUGGAAGAGAAAUUGGAGAAUGCGAGAAACGAUUUACCGCAUUUAAAAGACAUGGGAGACGCGGUGAACGAUUCACCGUUUUUCGAAAAAUAAUCCAACGUGGCCCCUACGUGGCGAAAAAAUGAUUAGUUUGCCAAAUAUAAAUUUGACAAAAUUAUUUUGUAAAUUAUAAAAGUUUAGAGGAUUUUUUUAUAAAAAAGUCCCAAUCUUAUACUGUAACACACUGGACCUUUGCAAAUAGCAAGGUUCGAGUGUUUGCUCUGUGUUCCGAGUUUUUUUUCCGGAUAUUCUGGAGGGUCGUGGACAGUGGUCCAACCCAUGGUUCACAUCCCGAGGAAUAUGGUAUUUUAUGUA